CUUCAUCAUAUUAUGUAUUCCAAAAGCUGAAAUAUACUCUGUCCCAAACAUUUUGAAAUAUACUCAAACUGUACCUGUAUAUUUACAUUGAAUUAGCAAUGGAGGAUGGUAAGGCUAUUAUCGCUGCAUGUACAGUUAAUAGUAUCUACUCUAUUACAUUCAUUUUAUUAUUUAUAAUACAUGCUGAAAUAAUAUGUAUUUGUAAUAAACAUUUUAUUUAUCAUUAUACAUUAAUAGAUAAUUUACAAAUAAUUUACACUACCACUACUUUGCAGUUAAACAUAAAAAAUUUUUUAUUUUAUUUAACG
rnacentral:lncRNA from 1 species